GAUGAACGCUGGCGGCGUGCCUAAUACAUGCAAGUCGAGCGAACAGAUGAGGAGCUUGCUCCUCUGACGUUAGCGGCGGACGGGUGAGUAACACGUGGAUAACCUACCUAUAAGACUGGGAUAACUUCGGGAAACCGGAGCUAAUACCGGAUAAUAUAUUGAACCGCAUGGUUCAAUAGUGAAAGACGGUUUUGCUGUCACUUAUAGAUGGAUCCGCGCCGCAUUAGCUAGUUGGUAAGGUAACGGCUUACCAAGGCAACGAUGCGUAGCCGACCUGAGAGGGUGAUCGGCCACACUGGAACUGAGACACGGUCCAGACUCCUACGGGAGGCAGCAGUAGGGAAUCUUCCGAAAUGGGCGAAAGCCUGACGGAGCAACGCCGCGUGAGUGAUGAAGGUCUUCGGAUCGUAAAACUCUGUUAUUAGGGAAGAACAAAUGUGUAAGUAACUAUGCACGUCUUGACGGUACCUAAUCAGAAAGCCACGGCUAACUACGU
rnacentral:rRNA from 1 species